rfam:Alkaliphilus oremlandii OhILAs, complete genome.
AAAUGGCGAUGAAGUGGAAGGUUGCCCAAAGGGGAAAUUUUCACAGAGCAUGUCUAGAUCAAAGAAUCGGGCGACAA